UUGUUGCGGUUAAAAGCUCGUAGUUGGAUUUUGGGCGCAGGCGGCCGGUCCGUCGCAAGGCGUGUACUGGCCGUCCUGGCCUCACCUCCGGUUCUCCGCCGGUGCCCUUGACUGAGUGUCGGCGGCGGCCGGAACGUUUACUUUGAAAAAAUUAGAGUGUUCAAAGCAGGCGAUUCGCCUGAAUAAUGGUGCAUGGAAUAAUGGAAUAGGACCUCGGUUCUAUUUUGUUGGUUUUCGGAGCGCGAGGUAAUGAUUAAGAGGGACAGACGGGGGCAUUCGUACUGUGCCGUUAGAGGUGAAAUUCUUGGAUCGGCGCAAGACGAACGACUGCGAAAGCAUUUGCCAAGAAUGUUUUCUUUAAUCAAGAGCGAAAGUCAGAGGUUCGAAGACGAUCAGAUACCGUCCUAGUUCUGACUAUAAACGAUGCCAACUAGCGAUCGGGGGGCGUUAGUUUUACGACCUCUCCGGCAGCUUGCGGGAAACCAAAGUCUUUGGGUUCCGGGGGAAGUAUGGUUGCAAAGCUGAAACUUAAAGGAAUUGACGGAAGGGCACCACCAGGAGUGGAGCCUGCGGCUUAAUUUGACUCAACACGGGAAAUCUCACCCGGCCCGGACACAGUGAGGAUUGACAGAUUGAGAGCUCUUUCUUGAUUCUGUGGGUGGUGGUGCAUGGCCGUUCUUAGUUGGUGGAGCGAUUUGUCUGGUUAAUUCCGAUAACGAACGAGACUCUGGCUUGCUAACUAGUUACGCGACCCAAUCGGUCGGCGUCUAACUUCUUAGAGGGACUAGUGGCGUUUAGCCACACGAGAUUGAGCAAUAACAGGUCUGUGAUGCCCUUAGAUGUUCGGGGCCGCACGCGCGCUACACUGACCGGAUCAGCAUGUGCUCGCCUUGGCCGACAGGUCUGGGUAACCCGCUGAACCCCGGUCGUGCUAGGGAUAGGGAAUUGCAAUUAUUUCCCUUGAACGAGGAAUUCCCAGUAAGCGCGAGUCAUUAACUUCG
rnacentral:rRNA from 1 species